rnacentral:tRNA from 1 species
GCCGUUGUGUCCGAGUGGUUAGGUGCCAGGCUGCAAACCUGGUUAGUCCGGUUCGAUUCCGGGGGACGGCUCUU